GCCAGACUUCCUUACUCUCUGUGUUCCCCCUUCCCUGGUAAACAACUUUCUCGCCAGUUCUUAUCUAUGGAGCCACAUCCCACACCUGCUACCCACUCUGUGAAUUACCCCUCCGGUCGGUCGCAAGGGCUACUUCCACUGAAACUGAUCUUCCUGCCUUGCCACGGGUAUAACCGCAUUCCUGCACUUUUCAAGUUAGCCAACCGGGUUUAGCCAACUGGAUUGUGCCGUCCAACUCCAGCCAAUGGAGACAGGACACAGUAAGAAGGACAAGCUACUUAGAGACAGCCCUGAAGAUGAGUUUUCACCCCUGAGAACAGAAUGACAGAAGGCCAAGAUGUGGUUGAAAUGGCUGGUGAGAGACAUCGGGUAAGACCUGGGUACAAGAAAAACACCACCUGGUUGCUGAACCCAGAAGUAAAUCACAAUCUUCUGUGUGGGCAUGAUGCAGAUGCAAGAGGAAAGUCAUACCUCAAAGUCAAGGAUGCAGAGACAUGUCACAAGGCCUCUAGUGGGCAGGGCCCAGGCUAGAGCCUCUCACCCACUUGAUUUGACCCAGCAAUAUGUUUUAAUACCUAAAAUAGAUGGGGCCAA